rnacentral:rRNA from 1 species
UACGUAGGGGGCUAGCGUUGUCCGGAAUCAUUGGGCGUAAAGAGCGUGUAGGCGGCCCGGUAAGUCCGCUGUAAAAGUCAAAGGCUCAACCUUUGAAUGUCAGUGGAUACUGCCGGGCUAGAGUCCGGAAGAGGCGAGUGGAACUCCUGGUGUAGCGGUGGAAUGCGCAGAUAUCAGGAAGAACAUCCGUGGCGAAGGCGGCUCUCUGGAACGGUACUGACGCUGAGACGCGAAAGCGUGGGGGAGCGAAACAGG